UAUGGAAGCUGAAUGACUCCUCGUGUGCAGGUGAAGUGUCUGCCCACGCUGUCAGGCUUCCUAUAGUAAUGUCCUGGAGAUCUCUGUCUGGCUCUGUACAGUGCACACUGAGCCGGAUCGUUCCUCUCCAUACACG